rnacentral:rRNA from 1 species
GAUGAACGCUGGCGGCGUGCCUAAUACAUGCAAGUCGAGCGAACAGAUAAGGAGCUUGCUCCUUUGACGUUAGCGGCGGACGGGUGAGUAACACGUGGGUAACCUACCUAUAAGACUGGAAUAACUCCGGGAAACCGGGGCUAAUGCCGGAUAACCUUUAGAACCGCAUGGUUCUAAAGUGAAAGAUGGUUUUGCUAUCACUUAUAGAUGGACCCGCGCCGUAUUAGCUAGUUGGUAAGGUAACGGCUUACCAAGGCAACGAUACGUAGCCGACCUGAGAGGGUGAUCGGCCACACUGGAAGUGAGACACGGUCCAGACUCCUACGGGAGGCAGCAGUAGGGAAUCUUCCGCAAUGGGCGAAAGCCUGACGGAGCAACGCCGCGUGAGUGAUGAAGGUCUUCGGAUCGUAAAACUCUGUUAUUAGGGAAGAACAAAUGUGUAAGUAACUGUGCACGUCUUGACGGUACCUAAUCAGAAAGCCACGGCUAACUACGUG